UGCAGUCGAACGGACUUAACCAUUAGUUUACUAUUGGAGCGGUUAGUGGCGGACUGGUGAGUAACACGUAAGCAACCUGCCUAUCAGAGGGGAACAACAGUUAGAAAUGACUGCUAAUACCGCAUAUGCCUAAGUACUACAUGGUACAAUAGGGAAAGGAGCAAUCCGCUGAUAGAUGGGCUUGCGUCUGAUUAGAUAGUUGGUGGGGUAAAGGCCUACCAAGUCGACGAUCAGUAGCCGGACUGAGAGGUUGAACGGCCACAUUGGGACUGAGAUACGGCCCAGACUCCUACGGGAGGCAGCAGUCGGGAAUAUUGCGCAAUGGAGGAAACUCUGACGCAGUGACGCCGCGUGCAGGAAGAAGGUUUUCGGAUUGUAAACUGCUUUAGACAGGGAAGAGACAAGACAGUACCUGUAGAAUAAGCUCCGGCUAACUACGUGCCAGCAGCCGCGGUAAUACGUAGGGAGCGAGCGUUAUCCGGAUUUAUUGGGUGUAAAGGGUGCGUAGACGGGAAAAUAAGUUAGUUGUGAAAUCCCUCGGCUUAACUGAGGAACUGCAACUAAAACUGUUUUUCUUGAGUACUGGAGAGGAAAGUGGAAUUCCUAGUGUAGCGGUGAAAUGCGUAGAUAUUAGGAGGAACACCAGUGGCGAAGGCGACUUUCUGGACAGAAACUGACGUUGAGGCACGAAAGUGUGGGGAGCAAACAGGAUUAGAUACCCUGGUAGUCCACACCGUAAACGAUGGAUACUAGGUGUAGGGGAUAAUAAAUUCUCUGUGCCGCCGCUAACGCAAUAAGUAUCCCACCUGGGGAGUACGGCCGC
rnacentral:rRNA from 1 species